rnacentral:rRNA from 1 species
UACGAAGGGGGCUAGCGUUGCUCGGAAUCACUGGGCGUAAAGGGUGCGUAGGCGGGUCUUUAAGUCAGGGGUGAAAUCCUGGAGCUCAACUCCAGAACUGCCUUUGAUACUGAGGAUCUUGAGUUCGGGAGAGGUGAGUGGAACUGCGAGUGUAGAGGUGAAAUUCGUAGAUAUUCGCAAGAACACCAGUGGCGAAGGCGGCUCACUGGCCCGAUACUGACGCUGAGGCACGAAAGCGUGGGGGAGCAAACAGG